CCUCUGUUUAUCCCCCACAAACCGAGCUUGAAGCUCUCCUCUCUUUUCUCUCUCCUUUCCAUGGCCGGCUAUCACUGUCGUCGGCCGAUCUCCCUCACCGGAGCAAUACCGGACAAUCCCUCGCGCCAUCGAGCUUUCCUCGAUGAGAGGAAUCCAUUUUUCCCCUUUCCCCUCUUCCUCCACCUCUGAAUCAAACCUCACCGGAGCUCUCUCUCUCCUCCCGGUUCACGACCUUCCAUCCGCCGUUCCGGCUAUUUCCCUUACUCCCUUUGCCGGCCACUGCCAUCCCUAGGUGCGUUGCAGUCGGGAACACCAGUGGCCGCCGGCGUUACCGCCUCCUCGCCACCGGAGCCCGGCGCCCCCUCUCCUUCUCCUCUCUGUUCGACCAAGGAGAAAAAGAAGAAAGAGACGGGAAGAAGAAGAAGAGGAGAAAAAGAAAAAGAAAAAGGAAUCCCUGACAGAGUCCGUUUGAUGUUCUUACUGAAGCCGGGAGUUCAAUCAUAUAAGUUAAUCUCAUUUUAACUUAGUUCUCAAGUAUAGAUUAGAUAGAUGGUUUAAGUCUAUAGCAAAACACUAGAGUUGAGUCAUCGUAUAGCUUCUGCUGUAAUAGUUAGCCACAAGCUUGUAAAUACCCUUAUAUUUUGUAAUAUUAUCUCCUUUGAAACCUUGAUCAAAUGUAUGCAAUGAAGAUCCAGAUCAUUGAACCUAUAUCAAUCUACUGAUCCAGGGCUUGAUACA